GUCGGUACUUGAAGAAGCGGAGCCAGGGCUGAGAUCCCGAAGGCGGGCGAGGCCGCAGUUCGGGGGCCACGCCCCGGCGUGCUCGGGUCACCGCGGGAAGCCCUUGAACCCCCUGGCGCCCGGCACCCACGUGCGGUAACCGCGGCUCCUCGAGAGCUCCAGGGAUGCGGAUCUACAGUAAGGGCUGUGGCCAGAUGAAUGAAUGCACAUUUUUUAGUGGGCAGAAAGAUGUUAGAAUUCAUGAAUUAGAAUAAGCACAAAGGAGGGCGAGAGGGGAGGCCGUGGAAGCCGCAUUCCUCCCCUUGCCUUGGGCGCCCACCCCCGAAGGGGCGCGUCCCCUCCCUGCUCCACUGCACGUGGGUGUUUAACCAGGGGAUAUCCAGUGCCUCAAGCACCACGACCCGGGAGAAAACUGAGUUGAGAAGGUCUUCUAACAAGCCUUUUGCACACCUGCCAUGUAUUUUGUCAGGCCUUGGGGAUGAAGGUGAGAAAUUCGAGAAUCCCCGGAGAUAACACAUCAGCAAAUAGUGCGCAGGCAGAACAAGCUGUUGGAGGUGAGAGACACAGAGCAGAGAAGCACCCGCACCUGGAGAGUCAGGAGGGCCUCACAUCAGAACGCCUGAGCAAAUACAGUUUUGAAGGAUACUAAUUUUUUAAAAAGUUCAUUCACAUGAGUUAGACAAAGAGAAAGAAGCAGGACAUUCUAGGAAGAAGGAACGGCCCAGGCAAAAGCGACGCGUACAUUGGCGUGGGUCCAUUCAAGAAUUGUGCCCACAAUAUACCAGGCACUUGUCCAGACCUGCAUCGUCCAAUGCCCACCUCGACCUCCCAAAGUGUUGGGAUUAGAGGCGUGAGCCACCGCGCCCUGCCUGCAUGUGGCUAUUGAGAUGUGCUGUAUGAUACACACCGGACUUUGAAGACUCAGUGUGAAAAAUAAAAAGAAUUUUAAGAGGGGUGGGGGUCGAGGGGAGGCAGAGCAGUAGGACAAAUAGCUAAUGCACGCAGGGCUUAAAACCUAGACAACAGGUUGAUGGGUGCAGCAAACCACCAUGACACAUGUUUAUCUAUAUAGCACCUACAUGUUCUGCACUUGUAUCCUGGAACUUAAAAUUAGAAAAAAAAAAUAAUAAAAGCCAACAUGGCAUUCAUUACUGCCAAAAAAAUUAAAACACAUUGUUAAUUUUGUAUAUUGAUUACAGGUUGAACUGAUAAUAUUUUGAAUAUAUUGGGUUAAAGAAAUACAUUUAAAAUUAGUGGCUAGGCACAGUGGCUCAUGCCUGUAACCCCAGCACUUUGGGAGGCUGAGGCGGGUGGAUCACCUGAGGUCUGGAGUUCGAGAUGAGCCUGGCCAACAUGGUGAAACCCCAUUUCUACUAAAAAUACAAAAAUCAGCCGGGUGUGGUGGUGAGUGCCUGUAAUCCCAACUACUUGGGAGGCUGAGGCAGGAGAAUCGUUUGAACCCGGGAGGUGUAGGUUACAGUGAGCCGAGAUUGUCCCACUGCACUCCAGCCUGGGUGACAGAGUGAGACUCCAUCUUAAUAAUAAUAAUAAAACUAUUUCUUGCUGUUUUACUUUUCUAAUGUGACCACCAGAAAAGUUUAGAUGGCUUGUGUGACUCUCAUCAUUGAACGGAGCUGUUCUAAACAUGGGUAAGACAACGCAGAGCUUCGGUUGCAGGACAGAGAAUGAAAUAAUAGACCCAUAAGACAGAUAAGUGACUGAUUGUGACUGCUAGGGUGUUUACAGCAUAGGCCGGUGACAGGAACGAGGAGUGUGGGGAUGAGAGCCGACGUGGGCGAGAGUGCAUGCAAUGCAGGGUCAGACGUUGGAUUCAUCUCUCAGGAGUUGAAAAAGGUGGCGUUCCUGUUCUUUAUUGGCAUUGCUUGUGACACGAGGAUUGCCCCUCUUCCUGAAGAGGUUGGUCAGGAAAAUUUUUUGUUAACUUUUAUUUUAGGUUUGAGGGUCCAUGUGCAGGUUUGUUUCAUGAGUAAACUCAUGUCAUGGGGGAUGGGUGUACAGAUAAUUUCAUCACUGAGGAAUAAGCCUAGUACCCGAUGGGUAUUUUUUCGGAUCUUCUCCCUCCUCCCAUCCUCCACCCUCAGGUAGGCCCCGUUGCCCACCGUUCCCCUCCUAAUAUCCCUGUGUUCUCGCUGUGGAGCUCCCACUUAUAAGUGAGAACACGCGGUGUUUGGUUUUCUGUUUCUGCCUUAGCUUGCCUCCACCUCUAUCCAUAGUGCUGCAAAGGACAUGAUCUCGUUCCUUUUUUAUGGCUUCAUGGUAUUCCACGAUGUAAAUGUACCACAUUUGCUUUGUCAAGUCUACUGUGGAUGGGCAUUUAUGUUGAUUCCACAUCUUUGCUAUCAUGAAUAGUGUUGUGGUGAACAUACACCUGCAUGUGUCUUUAUGGUAGAACGAUUUAGAUUCCUCUGGGUAUAUACCCAGUCAUGGGAUUGCUGGGUUGCAUGGUAGUUCUGUUUUAAGUUCUUUGCAGAAUCACUAUGCUGCUUUCCGCAAUGGUUGAACUAAUUUGCACUCUCAAUAUUAUAUUGUCUAUAGCUGAGAAAGCUGAAAUGUAAAGAUUAAGUCACUUGUCCUCAGACAUGUAGACAGGAAGUGGUACAGCCAGGACUCAAACCUGCCUCCAGAGCCCGUCCUCCUAAACCUAAGUCAUGGUUUUCAAAGUGUGGUCCUUGGAUCAGCAGCAAAAGCACCACCUGGGCACUCAUUAGACAUGGAAAUUCUGGGCCUCAACCCGGACCUCAGCAUGGGAAUCCCUGGGGGUGGAGCCCGGCGGUUUGUGUUUGGGCAGCCCCAGCUGACUCUGAGGCACCAUCAGGUUGGAGGCCACAGUGGGUGAUAGUCCCUGCCCUGUGGUAGCAGCCGGCCUCCCUCCUUCAUUUCUGUUAUUCCAUCUCCUUCUUAAAACAACCCUGUGAGGCUGGCAGGGCAGAUGUCGAUUUUAUUUAACAGAUGAAGAAACUGACCCUUGAGGUUUUAUGACUUACCCAAAGUCAUCGCAUUAGUUUUGGAACUGAAACUUCAAUGGCAGAUCUUCUGGCUGUUAGUCUGAGACUGGAACUAGUACCCACAAGGACUCUGGGAGCAGUAAGGUCAGAGCAGGAGCUACUGCUUCAUUUCAUUGCCUCUAGUGAAGGAGGAGGGGGGUUCCCAGAGCACGGCUUCUCCAUGGGUCUAGCCCAUGAUAGCUGGGUGCUUACCCUGAUGUGCUGAUGAGAUUCUGCCUUAUCUCCUGCAAGCCAUUUGUGCUGUGCUAGGAUUAAACAGUACACUUUGGAACCUUAGCUGCCCACACCCUGAGAGCCAAUCACGCAGAACCCACAGGAAAUCUCGGGGCAGAAGUAGUUUGCCAUAAAUGUCCAUUUUCUCAUUUUUUGUUGUUGUGACGGGGUCUUGCUCUGUCGCCGAGGCUGGAGUGCAUUGGCGCAAUCAUAGCGCACUGCAGCCUCAACCUCCUGGGCUCAAGUCAUCUUUCCACCUCAACCUCCAAAAUAGCUGGUAUUACAGGUGUGCGCCUCCUGUAUAAUUAAAAAAAAAACAUGUUUUGAGGCCGGGUGUGGCGGCUCAUGCCUGUAAUCCCAGCACUUUGGGAGGCCAAGGCGGGUGGAUCAUGAGGUCAAGAGAUUGAGAUCAUCCUGGCCAACAUGGUGAACCCCCGUCUCUACUAAAAAUACAAAAAAUUAGCCGGGCGUGGUGGCAGGCACUUUUAAUCCCAGCUACUUGGGAGGGUGAGGCAGGAGAAUCGCUUGAACCUGGGAGGUGUAGCUUGCAGUGAGCUGAGAUCACACCACUGCACUCCAGCCUGGGCAAAAAGAGUGAAACUCUGUCUCAAAAAAAAAAAUGUUUUGAGGUUACAGGGAGCUAUGAUCACACUACUGCACUCCAGUCUAGAUAACAGAGCGAGACCCUGUCUCUGAAAAAAAAGAAAAAAAAUUCUUUGUAGAGACAAGGUUUCACUAUAUUGCUCAGGCUGGAAUCAAACUCCUGGCCUCAAGCAAUCCUCCUGUAUUGACCUCUCAAAGGGCUGGGAUUACAGGCGGGAGCCACUGUGCUCAGCCUGCAUUUCCUGAUGCAACUCGUUCACAUUCCAUCCAUUAUCAACAAUCCCCACAACUUCACCUCCUGCCAUGGAUGCCUGAGGCUGGGGAAGGGGAACUUCAUUCGGGUGUGGGCGUCACCUUAGCCACAGAGAACCUAAAAGAGUGAUCAAGCCUCACCUGAGGUUGGGAGUUCGAGACCAGCCUGACCAACAUGGGGAAACCCCAUCUCUACUAAAAAUACAAAAUUAGCCAGGUGUGGUGGCGUGUGCCUGUAAUCCCAGCUACACGGGAGGCUGAGGCAGGAGAAUCGCUUGAACCCGGGAGGCGGAGGUUGUGGUGAGCCGAGAUCGCGCCGUUGCACUCCAGCCUGGGCAACGAGAGUGAAACUCCGUCUCGAAAAAAAAAAAAAAAGACUGAUCAAGCCGACUGAAAGUCAGGGUGCUCUGUUAUUAUAACUGAGCACCGGGAAUUCUAAACACUGUCAGUGAUAAAUACUCUUCCCAGAAAAAAAACUUUCUUGUAAUUAUAUGUGUAUAAUUCCAUUUUUAUCCCUAAUCUUUUAACAAACAUGUCUUACAUGGGAGUUAAUCCCAAGGGCUCCCAGCUAUGCACUUGGUUCCAACACGUCUUCGUUCAGCCACAAGAAGUUUAUUUGGUUCAGAAGCAGAGUGCUAGCUUCAGGCACAGUUUGAUCCAGCUGAUGGGCACUGCAACCUCCUGCAUGUAAACAGCAGGUUUGAAGUGAACCGUGGUAGCACUAUGACUAUAAAGACAAACGAGGAGAACUUGCUUUACUUCACUUCAUUCCAUGUGAUCACUUGUGCUUAAAAUUUGAAUCAGUGAAACAGGGCGGUGGGAACCGCAAGCUGAAAUAUUUUUGUUAUAGUGUGGAUUUUAGCUCAUAUAUUACACAUUUUACUGAAUUCAAAUAAUGUCUUUAAAAUUGAAAUUUAGCCAGGAGUGGUGGCUCACGCCUGUAAUCCCAGCACUUUGGGAGGCCGAGGCGGGAUUUCGAGACCAGCCUGGCCAAUAUGGUGAAAACCUGUCUCUGCUAACAAUACAAAAAUUAGCUGGGCGUGGUGGCACGGGCGUGUAGUCCCAGCUACUCAGGAGGCUGAGGCAGAAGAAUCGCUAGAACCCGGGGAGCCGAGAUUGGGCCACUGCACUCCAGCCUGGGCGACAGAAUAAGACUCUGUCUCAAAAAAAUAUUAAAUAAAUAAAUAAAUAAAAUACAAUUGAAAUUUAUUUUUUUUGGCCAGGUACGUUGGCUCAUGCUUUGGGAGGUCAACGGAGGAGGAUUACUCGAGGCCAGGAGUUUGAGACCAGCCUGGGCAACAUAGUGAGAUCCUGUCUCUACAAAAAAAUUUAAAAAUUAGCCAAGCGUGCCUGUGGUCCCAACUUCUUGGGAGGCUGAGGUGGAGGAUUGCUUAAGCCUGGGAGGCUAAGGCUGCAGUGAGCCGUGACUGCACUACUGUACUCCAGCCUGGGUGACAGAGUGAGAUCUUGUCUCAGAAAAAAAAAAAAAAAAAAAGGAAAGAAAUUUAUUGUUUUUUAAAAGUGUAAUUGUUGGGUUUUUUUUUUUUGAGAUGGAGUUUCACUCUCGUCACCCAGGCUGGCGUGCAGUGGCGCGAUCUCGGCUCACUGCAACCUCCACCUCCCGUGUUCAAGUGAUUCUCCUGCCUCAGCCUCCCCAGUAGCUGGGAUUACAAGCACACGCCACCACGCCCAGCUCAUUUUCGUAUUUUUAGUAGAGAUGGGGUUUCGCCAUGUUGGCCAGGCUGGUCUCUAACUCCUGACCUUAGGUGAUCUACCUGAGGCCUCCCAAAGUGCUGGGAGUGCAGGUGUGAGCCACCAUGACCUGCCAAUUUUUGGUUUUGAAACCGAAGAAUAAUUAGGAAAAUGAUGAUUAUUCCUAUUACAUGAUUAUAAUUUAAAAUAGUUUUGUUGAAUGGAUACGGGUGCUGAAAUAAUGCAUUCUGGGUAUCAAAUGGAUGCUUGGAGUGGAUGGAUAGAUUGGAUACCUGGUCCCUCCAAAUCUCAUGUUGAAAUCUGAUUCCUGGUGUUGGUGGUGGAGCCUACUGGGAGUCUUGGGGUCAUGUGCCUCUUGGUGCCAUCCUCUUGUCCCCUCGGGAAGGAGUGAGUUCUUGCUCUGUUAGUUUUUGCCAGAGCUGAUGUUGAAACGAGCCUGGCACCUCCCGCACUCCUCUCUUCCUUCCUCUCUUGCCAUCUGAUGCCAGCUCCCCUUCCCCUUCUGCCAUGAGUGGAAGCUCCCUGAGGGCCUCACCAGAAGCAGAUGCUGGCGCCAUGUUUCUUGUACAGCCUGCAGAACCUUGAGCCAAAUAAACCUCUUUUCUUCAUAAGUUACCCAGCCUCGAGUAUUCCUUUAUAGCAACACAAACAGGCUCGGACAGAACGCCACUGCUGCCUCCCCAACCCCUGUGAGUCCUUCCAUGUACACACCCGCCUCGGAAUCUGCUCAUUGUGGGAGGACUCUCCAGCUUACCCACUGAGACUGAGUAGCAGUAGACAUGCCCCCUUGCGGCCCAAGGAACGACUGGUUGGUACAUUACUGUGCUAAUGGCACUUUAAUUGCAGACUUUCAGGGACAAGAAACUUUUGUGUUUCACCCCAGUAAAUGACAGGCCCUAAAGUAAACUGUGAAGGACAAUGCCAGCAAAAGUUUGAGGCCUGGCGCUCUUUACAGUAAGGCUUUGUGCGGUGAUCUACCCGUUCCAAACCUAAGUUUCCUCGCUGGCAAAACAGGGAUAAAGUUUCUGGUGCACAAAUGCCACAGAAUUGCUGUGGAGGUCAAGUGGCGUAGUCCAUGUGACACCCUGGAGGACUAAAUGAUGAAGACAAAGGUGUGUGUGCGAACCAUUUUCACCCAGUCCUCUCCUGCUCACCGCCUCUCUCUGAGCUGGGACGUUCACAUGCAUCGACUUCGGAUUCCAGCUCUAGGUUUGCUGGUUGUGUGCAUCUGCUGCAUUGCUCCAAUUCUGUUCUCUCCUGUGAAAAAUGGAGAUAACUGGCCAGGUGCAGUGGCUCACACCUGUCAUCCCAGCACUUUGGGAGGCCAAGGCAGACAGAUCAUCUGAGGGCAGGAGUUCGAGACCAGUCUGGCCAACAUGGUGAAACCCUGUGUCUACUAAAAAUAUAAAAAUUAUCCGGGCAUAUAGAGGAUGAAAAGAACCAGUGUUCUUUUCAUCCUGUACAUAUUUUGUGACAAUUAAUGGUAAGAAUAGUGUUUCUUUUGAUGAGAUCUAUCAAAGGUAAGCAAAUUAUCAAUUUAUGAUAAAAAUCGAGUGCAAAUAUUUCUAUAUUUUAAAUAUUAAUAUAUGAGCAAUUACUUUCCAUAUACCCACAGGUCGCCCAUGUCUAGAGACGGUUUACUGCCAUACAGGAAAAGUGGCCUUGACUUUACAGAGCAGGCCUGUGACCUUGCUUCAGUUAAGCGUGUGCUAACCCAGGAGUUCACUCUCAUUACAGCCUGGCAUAUUCAUCUCACUUGCACUGGUCCACGGACGAUGAUAAUAAUAAAGGCUCUGCCAGCUGUAAGUGGAGGGGAGAGAAAGGACCUUCUGUUAAAUGCAAUCCAUUAAUUCUUGAUCGAGCAGACAGGUCCAUAACUUCAUCUCACAUGCAAGGACUCAUUAGUAACUUUCCUUCUGUCACUCCGUUAUUAACAUUAAGAUUCGGAGGGGAAGAAUGACUUUGAAGCCUGUGGCCUCCUCACCUAUCUGACCUCUAGGCUUUCUGCAGCACAGAGAUUAUACAUUCCAGGCACAGGAUCCUACAUAAUAGAGAAGAAAUUAUAUAUAAAAUAUAUAUAUUUUUAAUAAAGAAAAGAAUAUAUAUAUAUUUUUUUCUUUAAAUGUUUUUAUUUAUUUAUUUAUUUUUUUAUUGAUCAUUCUUGGGUGUUUCUCGCAGAGGGGGAUUUGGCAGGGUCACAGGACAAUAGUGGAGGGAAGGUCAGCAGACAAACAAGUGAACAAGGGUCUCUGGUUUUCCUAGGCAGAGGGCCCUGCGGCCUUCCCCAGUGUUUGUGUCCCUGGGUACUUGAGAUUAGGGAGUGGUGAUGACCCUUAACGAGCCUGCUGCCUUCAAGCAUCUGUUUAACAAAGCACAUCUUGCACCGCCCUUAAUCCAUUUAACCCUGAGUGGACACAGCACAUGUUUCAGGGAGCACAGGGUUGGGGGUAAGGUCACAGAUCAACAGGAUCCCAAGGCAGAAGAAUUUUUCUUAGUACAGAACAAAAUGAAAAGUCUCCCAUGUCUACUUCUUUCUACACAGACAUGGCAACCAUCCGAUUUCUCAAUCUUUUCCCCACAUUUCCCCCCUUUCUAUUCCACAAAACCGCCAUUGUCAUCAUGGCCCGUUCUCAAUGAGCUGUUGGGUACACCUCCCAGACGGGGUGGUGGCCGGCCAGAGGGGCUCCUCACUUCCCAGUAGGGGCGGCCGGGCAGAGGCGCCCCUCACCUCCCAGAAGGGGCGGCUGGCCGGGCGGGGGGCUGACCCCCCACCUCCCUCCCUGACGGGGCGGCUGGCCGGGCGGAGACGCUCCUCACUUCCCAGACUGGGUGGCUGCCGGACGGAGGGGCUCCUCACUUCUCAGACGGGGCGGUUGCCAGGCAGAGGGUCUCCUCACUUCUCAGACGGGGCGGCCGGGCAGAGACGCUCCUCACCUCCCAGACGGGGUCGCGGCCGGGCAGAGGCGCUCCUCACAUCCCAGAUGGGGCGGCGGGGCAGAGGUGCUCCCCACAUCUCAGACGAUGGGCGGCUGGGCAGAGACGCUCCUCACUUCCUAGAUGGGCUGGAUGGCGGGGAAGAGGCGCUCCUCACUUCCUAGAUGGGAUGGUGGCCGGGCAGAGAUGCUCCUCACUUUCCAGACUGGGCAGCCAGGCAGAGGGGCUCCUCACAUCGCAGACGAUGGGCGGCCAAGCAGAGACGCUCCUCACUUCCCAGACGGGGUGGUGGCCGGGCAGAGGCUGCAAUCUCGGCUCUUUGGGAGGCCAAGGCAGGCGGCUGGGAGGUGGUUGUAGCGAGCCGAGAUCACGCCACUGCACUCCAGCCUGGGCACCAUUGAGCACUGAGUGAACGAGACUCCGUCUGCAAUCCCGGCACCUCGGGAGGCCGAGGCUGGCGGAUCACUCGCGGCUAGGAGCUGGAGACCAGCCCGGCCAACAGAGCGAAACCCCGUCUCCACCAAAAAAAUACAAAAACCAGUCAGGCGUGGCGGUGCGUGCCUGCAAUCGCAGGCGCUCGGCAGGCUGAGGCAGGAGAAUCAGGCAGGGGGGUUGCAGUGAGCCGAGAUGGCAGCAGUACAGUCCAGCUUCGGCUAGGCAUCAGAGGGAGACCAUGGAAAGAGAGGGAGAGGGAGACCGUGGGGAGAGGGAGAGGGAGAGGGAGAGGGAGAGGGCAAGAAUAUAUAUUUUAACAGGUAAACAGAUCUUGGCUUUUUAACUGCCACCCUCCAAACCCCCAGCAGUAUUCUGUCCUGGGCCAACUAUCCAGGGUCUUGUGGUCCCUCCAGGAUGACACGGUAUUGGAGGUACUGUGAUGAGUUUCCUUGGCACUGGAAGGAAUCUUUCUUCCUUAAUGCUACAUCUAUUAAUUCCUCUUUGUGGCUAUCUGGUUUGUUGCUACUCGAAGUGUGGUCCCUGGACCAGUAUCAUCAGCAUUGCCUGUGAGCUAAUUAGAAAUGCAACAUAUUGGAGCUGCUGUGGACUGAAUGUGUGUGUCCCCCCAAAGUGCACAUGUUAAAUCCUAACCCCCAAAGUGAUGGUCUUUGGGUGGUGAUGAGGUCGUGAGAGUGGAGUCCCACGAUGGCAUGAGUGCCCUUAUGAAGGAGGCCCCUGGAGAGCUCCCUCAGCCCUUCUGCAAGGACACAGUGAGAAGAGGCUGUGAACAAGGAAACAGUUCCUCUUCAGACACGGCAUUUUCUGCCACCUUGAUCUUGGGCUUCCAGUCUCCAGAGAGUGAGAAAUGAGCAUCUGUUGUCCGUAAGCCACUCUGUCUGUGGCACUCUGUAUAGCGGCCCAGAUGGACUGAGACAGCGCCCACCUCCACCAAGUCCACAACUGCGGAAUCAGCGUCUGCGUCCCACUGCGAUCCCUGGGUGACCCGCUGUUUGUACACUGAAGUUGGAGACACACUGAUUCUUAGAGAACAUUUAACUAAUGGAUUUAAUCCUCUCAUUAAUGGAAGACUAAGUUGAGGAUCUGAAAGGUUAGAUGAUUGAUCCAAUUAUACUUAUGCUUGUUCUAUAAAAAUAAUAUUCAGAGACAGCAGGACCUUAAGAAUCAUUUGUUUGGAAAAAUGACCUCUAAUUACAAAAAUCUGUGGUGGGUGGUGGAGAAGACCAAAUCUCAAUAGAAAAAUGGUUAAAUAUCUAUAGUCCCAGCUACUCGGGAGGCUGAGGUGGGAGGAUCGAUUGAGCCUAGGAGGUUGAGGCUGCAGCGAGGUACGAAUGCGCCACUGAAUUCCAGCCUGGGUGACAGUGAGAGACUGUCUCAAAAAAAGAAAAAGAAAAAAGAGGGCAACCCAUUUCUCCAGGACUCCUGUCUGCAGCAGAGAGCUCUUCUCUUUCUUUUGCCUAUUAAAAUUCUGCUCUCAACCUAAAAAAAAAAAAAAGAAAAAGAAAAGAAAAAAGAAAAAUGGUUAAAAUAUGAGCAGAAAACAAUCACACAAAA
rnacentral:lncRNA from 1 species